GGCGUAGGCGAUGGAUAACAGGUUGAUAUUCCUGUACCACCUAUAAUCGUUUUAAUCGAUGGGGGGACGCAGUAGGAUAGGCGAAGCGUGCGAUUGGAUUGCACGUCUAAGCAGUAAGGCUGAGUAUUAGGCAAAUCCGGUACUCGUUAAGGCUGAGCUGUGAUGGGGAGAAGACAUUGUGUCUUCGAGUCGUUGAUUUCACACUGCCGAGAAAAGCCUCUAGAUAGAAAAUAGGUGCCCGUACCGCAAACCGACACAGGUAGUCAAGAUGAGAAUUCUAAGGUGAGCGAGCGAACUCUCGUUAAGGAACUCGGCAAAAUGACCCCGUAACUUCGGGAGAAGGGGUGCUCUUUAGGGUUAACGCCCAGAAGAGCCGCAGUGAAUAGGCCCAAGCGACUGUUUAUCAAAAACACAGGUCUCUGCUAAACCGUAAGGUGAUGUAUAGGGGCUGACGCCUGCCCGGUGCUGGAAGGUUAAGAGGAGUGGUUAGCUUCUGCGAAGCUACGAAUCGAAGCCCCAGUAAACGGCGGCCGUAACUAUAACGGUCCUAAGGUAGCGAAAUUCCUUGUCGGGUAAGUUCCGACCCGCACGAAAGGCGUAACGAUUUGGGCACUGUCUCAACGAGAGACUCGGUGAAAUCAUAGUACCUGUGAAGAUGCAGGUUACCCGCGACAGGACGGAAAGACCCCGUGGAGCUUUACUGUAGCCUGAUAUUGAAAUUCGGCACAGCUUGUACAGGAUAGGUAGGAGCCUUUGAAACGUGAGCGCUAGCUUACGUGGAGGCGCUGGUGGG
rnacentral:rRNA from 1 species